rnacentral:rRNA from 1 species
UACGUAGGGGGCUAGCGUUGUCCGGAAUCAUUGGGCGUAAAGAGCGUGUAGGCGGCCAGGUAGGUCUGCUGUGAAAACUCGAGGCUCAACCUCGAGACGUCGGCGGAAACCAUCUGGCUAGAGUCCGGAAGAGGAGUGUGGAAGUUCCUGGUGUAGCGGUGAAAUGCGCAGAUAUCAGGAGGAACACCGAUGGCGAAGGCAGGUCUCUGGGCCAUAACUGACGCUGAGAAGCGAAAGCAUGGGGAGCGAACAGG